rnacentral:tRNA from 1 species
GCUCGCCUAGCUCAGUUGGUUAGAGUGCUUGCAUGACAUGCAAGAUGUCGCUGGUUCGAGUCCAGCGGCGAGCACCA